UACGGGGGGGGCAAGCGUUGUUCGGAAUUACUGGGCGUAAAGGGCGCGUAGGCGGCCUGUUAAGUCGAACGUGAAAUCCCCGGGCUCAACCCGGGAACUGCGUCCGAUACUGGCAGGCUUGAAUUCGGGAGAGGGAAGCGGAAUUCCGGGUGUAGCGGUGAAAUGCGUAGAUAUCCGGAGGAACACCGGUGGCGAAGGCGGCUUCCUGGACCGACACUGACGCUGAGGCGCGAAAGCUAGGGGAGCAAACGGG
rnacentral:rRNA from 1 species